AUUGAACGCAGGCGGCAGGCCUAACACAUGCAAGUCGAACGGUAACAGAAAGCAGCUUGCUGCUUUGCUGACGAGUGGCGGACGGGUGAGUAACGUCUGGGAAACUGCCUGAUGGAGGGGGAUAACUACUGGAAACGGUAGCUAAUACCGCAUAAUGUCGCAAGACCAAAGAGGGGGACCUUCGGGCCUCUUGCCAUCGGAUGUGCCCAGAUGGGAUUAGCUAGUAGGUGGGGUAACGGCUCACCUAGGCGACGAUCCCUAGCUGGUCUGAGAGGAUGACCAGCCACACUGGAACUGAGACACGGUCCAGACUCCUACGGGAGGCAGCAGUGGGGAAUAUUGCACAAUGGGCGCAAGCCUGAUGCAGCCAUGCCGCGUGUAUGAAGAAGGCCUUCGGGUUGUAAAGUACUUUCAGCGGGGAGGAAGGGAGUAAAGUUAAUACCUUUGCUCAUUGAUGUUACCCGCAGAAGAAGCACCGGCAAACUCCGUGCCAGCAGCCGCGGUAAUACGGAGGGUGCAAGCGUUAAUCGGAAUUACUGGGCGUAAAGCGCACGCAGGCGGUUUGUUAAGUCAGAUGUGAAAUCCCCGGGCUCAACCUGGGAACUGCAUCUGAUACUGGCAAGCUUGAGUCUCGUAGAGGGGGGUAGAAUUCCAGGUGUAGCGGUGAAAUGCGUAGAGAUCUGGAGGAAUACCGGUGGCGAAGGCGGCCCCCUGGACGA
rnacentral:rRNA from 1 species